UAAAGAGCUUGGAUGUCAAACUGAUGACAGUAUUUCAGUUAAUGUGGACCUUUUAUAAUGGAGGCAUUUGGAAACUGUGGGAGAUGACAUCACAGAAUUGAUUUCCAGCCCCUCCGACAGCACGGAGCUGUCUCCCCACUCCAGGACUCCCGCCUGUCCUUCCCUCAGUCCCCUAGGACAGAUCUUCAGAGACGCAAUGGCCUCGGGGCAUUUCCUGAUCUUCUCAGGGAAGAAGCCCAUGACCAGGAGGAUGAACCAACCAGCCAAUCAGAGGCCAGGCUGGACCUGAACCAGGACUGCUCGCAUCCGUUACAUUCUCCCCUGCUCUCUCCGGCUGGACGCAAGAUCGGAGGCUUGGACCCCUCUGCUGACCUCAGCUGGCCCUCUGUGGUGUGGACUGACUCCUUCAUGGCUCAGCUGAGCCCAGGGGACAUCCCAUAAAGCUCUGCAUGCACACACUCUUCUCUCCUUUGUACUGUUAGUUUGGACAUCAGUUUUUUUUUUUUUAAUACAUUUAUUUUUAAUUGAAGGAU
rnacentral:lncRNA from 1 species